GAAAUGCGAUAAGUAAUGUGAAUUGCAGAAUUCCGUGAAUCAUCGAAUCUUUGAACGCACAUUGCGCCCUCUGGUAUUCCGGGGGGCAUGCCUGUCCGAGCGUCAUUGCGAACCCCCCAAGCACGGCUUGUGUGAUGGGCCCUCCCGCGUCUUGGUCGUCAAGACGGGCCCGAAAUGCAGUGGCGGCUUCGCGGUUAUCCGAUCAGCCAGAGCGUAUGGGGACUUUCUCUCUGUCACACGCCCGCGGCGCGGACCGACGCCUGUCGACCUUCAUUCAUCGUUUUCUCGGUUGACCUCGGAUCAGGUAGGGAUACCCGCUGAACUUAAGC
rnacentral:misc_RNA from 1 species